rnacentral:tRNA from 1 species
AUGCGGCCUGAUGGCGGGCGGGCGCAUGUCGGCGCUGUCGCUGCCGAUCGAUGCCGGGGCGUCGGUGGAGUUCAAGCCGUUCCGGGCGCGUAC